rnacentral:rRNA from 1 species
UAGCGGAGGAAAAGAAACCAACAGGGAUUGCCUCAGUAACGGCGAGUGAAGCGGCAACAGCUCAAAUUUGAAAUCUGGCUCUUUUAGGGUCCGAGUUGUAAUUUGUAGAAGAUGCUUCGGGUGUGGCUCCGGUCUAAGUUCCUUGGAACAGGACGUCAUAGAGGGUGAGAAUCCCGUACGUGACCGGUGGCCUUCGCCCAUGUGAAGCUCUUUCGACGAGUCGAGUUGUUUGGGAAUGCAGCUCAAAAUGGGUGGUAUAUUUCAUCUAAAGCUAAAUAUUGGCCAGAGACCGAUAGCGCACAAGUAGAGUGAUCGAAAGAUGAAAAGCACUUUGGAAAGAGAGUUAAACAGUACGUGAAAUUGUUGAAAGGGAAGCGCUUGCAAUCAGACUUGCACGCCGUCGAUCAUCCGAGGUUUUCCCCGGUGCACUCGGCGGUGUUCAGGCCAGCAUCGGUCUGGGUGGUUGGAUAAAGGCCCCAGGAAUGUGGCUCCCUUCGGGGAGUGUUAUAGCCUGGGGUGCAAUGCAGCCUAUCCGGACCGAGGACCGCGCUCGGCUAGGAUGCUGGCGUAAAUGGG